rnacentral:rRNA from 1 species
CCUACGGGAGGCAGCAGUGGGGAAUAUUGGGCAAUGGGCGCAAGCCUGACCCAGCAACGCCGCGUGAAGGCAGAAGGCUUUCGGGUUGUAAACUUCUUUUCUCAGGGACGAAGCAAGUGACGGUACCUGAGGAAUAAGCCACGGCUAACUACGCGCCAGCAGCCGCGGCAAUACGUAGGUGGCAAGCGUUAUCCGGAUUUACUGGGUGUAAAGGGCGUGUAGGCGGGGACGCAAGUCAGAUGUGAAAACCACGGGCUCAACCUGUGGCCUGCAUUUGAAACUGUGUUUCUUGAGUACUGGAGAGGAAGACGGAAUUCCUAGUGUAGCGGUGAAAUGCGUAGAUAUUAGGAGGAACACCAGUGGCGAAGGCGGUCUGCUGGACAGCAACUGACGCUGAGGCGCGAAAGCGUGGGGAGCAAACAGGAUUAGAUACCCCAGUAGUC